GGUCCCGUAGUUCAGGCGGAUAGAACAGCAGUUUCCUAAACUGCGUGUCGGGGGUUCGAGUCCCUCCGGGACCGCAA
rnacentral:tRNA from 1 species